rnacentral:rRNA from 1 species
GUCCAGACUCCUACGGGAGGCAGCAGUGAGGAAUAUUGGUCAAUGGGAGGAAUCCUGAACCAGCCAUGCCGCGUGCAGGACGACGGCUCUACGAGUUGUAAACUGCUUUUGUACCGGGGUAAAAUGCCUUACGAGUAGGGUUUUGAAAGUGCGGUACGAAUAAGGAUCGGCUAACUCCGUGCCAGCAGCCGCGGUAAUACGGGGGAUGCGAGCGUUAUCCGGAUUUAUUGGGUUUAAAGGGUGCGUAGGCGGCGCUUCAGGUCAGCGGUGAAAUACCGGGGCUCAACCCCGUCGUGCCGUUGAAACUGGCGUUCUUGAGUGAGCGAGAAGUAUGCGGAAUGCGUGGUGUAGCGGUGAAAUGCAUAGAUAUCACGCAGAACUCCGAUUGCGAAGGCAGCAUACCGGCGCUCAACUGACGCUCAUGCACGAAAGCGUGGGUAUCGAACAGGAUUAGAUACCCGAGUAGC